UUCAAGGCUGUGAGUGACAGCCUCGUCUGAAGAGAGGAAACAACCAGUUCUCCUAUUAGUGCCCUUAGGUUUGAUAUCAGCGGCACUUCUCUGUCUGCAAGUCACACUGAAGCCAACAGGAUGGCUGCAGCGAUGGCGGAAGAGCAGGAGGGGGUUAACUACGCUUCAGUUGUAUUCAAAGCUAACAAACAUCCUCCAUCUGAAGGUAAAACGGAGGAAACUGUGUACGAUGAAGUGAAGGUGCAGAACGGAACAACUGAUCAAGCUGCUGAUGCAGGAUUCUUGGAGGACAAGAGAGCAAACAACAGACGUCGUCACUUUAAACGGUUGGCUUGUGGUUUGGGAAUCAUUGCCGUCAUUUUGCUGGCGGGCAUCAUAGCAGUCUGUGUCUACACUGCUACAUUCAGUCACGAGAAUGAGCGCUUAAAAGAAAUCCAAAAGAAUCACCUGGCUGUCAAGCAGAACCUGACGAACCGCAUCAACAAACUCAGCUCAAUGAAUGAAAACUUGAUGAGAGACAACGACAAUCUGACCGUCCAGUUGAGCAACCUGACACAAAACUAUACUGUCUUAGAAAACAAGAUCACAAACCUGACGGAAGAAAUCCUGAAGCUGACAACACAAAACCAGGAGCUGAAGUCACAGAAGAACAACUUAACAGAACAAAUACAGGAGAUGAAGGCAAACAUCAACGUCAGCCGAGCUCAGUGGAGCAUUGAUGCCUACUGCCCCAAAGAAAAUAACAAGAGACGGUGUAAAGCUUGUCAGAAGAACUGGGAACAUAAAGAGCUGAGCUGCUAUAUCAUUCAUAACGCUAUAAGACCUGAACGGAUAACCUGGAAAGAAGCUCUAGAAAACUGCAGAGGAAAGAAUUCAGAUUUGGCUGUUAUACAUGAUGAAGAGGAAAAGAAAGUCAUCAAUGAUUACAGCUGGGACAGUUCAGGAAUAAAUGGAUACUGGAUUGGCCUGAGAGCUGAGGAUAAAAAGUGGAAGUGGAUCGAUGGAAGUGAUCUCGCUGAAAGCUCCUGGAUAGAUCCUCCUGCUGAAGGUCGCUGUGCGAUUUCUGUCAAGAAUGAUAGAUGGAAAACAGUGAGCUGUGAUGAGAAACAGCGAUGGAUCUGCAGACAGAAAGCUUUAUCUGUUUAAUCACUGCUGUGAUACUUUAGUACUUAAUAUACUUUUUUGUUUUUCAAACGUACAAAUUACAUAUAAAAGAAUUACAUUUUUUUUAACAGGAAAAAGAAUCAAAGUGAAUUAUUUUUGAAAGCUGUUUGUGUGCAUGUGUCUAAAAGCAGAGAGUCAGAUGUAAAGGUGUAAUUAGAUACUGGGUUCUGUAGAUAAUGUGUGUCUGACUGCUGACACCGCAUUGAGGAAAACACAAUAACUGUCCUGAAGGGGCACUAAACUGUUAAUUAUUAAUAACUCUGACUGUGAUUUUCUUCUGCUUUAUUAGAGAUUUACUGCUUUUAAUUUGUGUAUCAGCAGACUGAUGACAGGGACCAACAGGACUGCUCAGUUUCCUGUUUCUAUGCAAGGAAACUAUAAAAGAAGGAGAGGUCAUGACGUCAGUGACAACAUUUGAAUUUUGCAUUGGAGCCAGUUUGGUGUCACUUCUACCAAAGUUCAUUAGGCAGCCAUGACACGUCCCACUAUAACCCAUCAUAUCUGUGCUGUUUCAUCUUUGACUGAAAGUUCCUUCCACAAAUUAAAAACACACAUUACAUGA